UACGUAGGGUGCGAGCGUUGUCCGGAAUCACUGGGCGUAAAGGGCGCGUAGGCGGGAUGGCAAGUCAGUCGUGAAAUCUCUCGGCUCAACCGAGAAACGUCGGCUGAUACUGCCGUUCUUGAGGGAUGCAGAGGAGACUGGAAUUCCCGGUGUAGCGGUGAAAUGUGUAGAGAUCGGGAGGAACACCGGUGGCGAAGGCGGGGUCUCUGGGCAUCUCCUGACGCUGAGGCACGAAAGCCAGGGGAGCAAACGGG
rnacentral:rRNA from 1 species